rnacentral:rRNA from 1 species
UUACCUGCCCAGUGCGACAUAUUACUGUAAACGGCCGCCCUAGCGUGAGGGUGCUAAGGUAGCGAAAUUCCUUGCCUUUUAAUUGUAGGCCUGCAUGAAUGGUUUAACGAGGGUUAAGCUGUCUCUAAGUUUAUAAGUUGAAAUUGUAUUAAAGGUGAAGAUACCUUUAUUUUGAAGUUAGACAAAAAGACCCCGUGCAACUUUGAAAAUUAGCUUUAUUAAAAGGUGAGAGAUUUUUAGGUGGGGCGCCUAGAGAGCUAGUUCUAACCUCUUUUACUGAGUUAUUAAAACUUUCAAGUCUUGACCCGGUUACACCCGAUCAUAGGAGAAGUUACGCCGGGGAUAACAGGCUAAUCCUUUAGUAGAGCUCGUAUUGGCUAAAGGGAUUGGCACCUCGAUGUUGAAUCAGGGAUGAUACCUUUGAGGCGUA